rnacentral:rRNA from 1 species
AUUGAACGCUGGCGGCAUGCCUUACACAUGCAAGUCGAACGGUAACAGGUCUUCGGAUGCUGACGAGUGGCGAACGGGUGAGUAAUACAUCGGAACGUGCCCGAGAGUGGGGGAUAACGGAGCGAAAGCUUUGCUAAUACCGCAUACGAGCUCAGGAUGAAAGCAGGGGACCGCAAGGCCUUGCGCUCACGGAGCGGCCGAUGGCAGAUUAGGUAGUUGGUGGGAUAAAAGCUUACCAAGCCGACGAUCUGUAGCUGGUCUGAGAGGACGACCAGCCACACUGGGACUGAGACACGGCCCAGACUCCUACGGGAGGCAGCAGUGGGGAAUUUUGGACAAUGGGCGCAAGCCUGAUCCAGCCAUGCCGCGUGCAGGAUGAAGGCCUUCGGGUUGUAAACUGCUUUUGUACGGAACGAAACGGCUCUUUCUAAUAAAGAGGGCUAAUGACGGUACCGUAAGAAUAAGCACCGGCUAACUACGUGCCAGCCGCCGCCGUAAAAC